rnacentral:rRNA from 1 species
CAGCCGCCGCGGUAAUACGUAGGGCGCAAGCGUUGUCCGGAAUUAUUGGGCGUAAAGAGCUCGUAGGCGGUCUGUCGCGUCUGGUGUGAAAUCCCGAGGCUCAACCUCGGGCUUGCAUCGGGUACGGGCAGACUAGAGUGCGGUAGGGGAGACUGGAAUUCCUGGUGUAGCGGUGGAAUGCGCAGAUAUCAGGAGGAACACCGAUGGCGAAGGCAGGUCUCUGGGCCGCAACUGACGCUGAGGAGCGAAAGCAUGGGGAGCGAACAGGAUUAGAUACACCGGUAGUCCCUGUCUCUUAUAC